AACGAACGCUGGCGGCAUGCCUAACACAUGCAAGUCGAACGAAGGCUUCGGCCUUAGUGGCGCACGGGUGCGUAACGCGUGGGAAUCUGCCCUUUGGUUCGGAAUAACAGCUGGAAACGGCUGCUAAUACCGGAUGAUGACGAAAGUCCAAAGAUUUAUCGCCAGAGGAUGAGCCCGCGUUGGAUUAGGUAGUUGGUGGGGUAAAGGCCUACCAAGCCGACGAUCCAUAGCUGGUCUGAGAGGAUGAUCAGCCACACUGGGACUGAGACACGGCCCAGACUCCUACGGGAAGCAGCAGUGGGGAAUAUUGGACAAUGGGCGCAAGCCUGACCCAGCAAUGCCGCGUGAGUGAUGAAGGCCCUAGGGUUGUAAAGCUCUUUUACCCGGGAAGAUAAUGACUGUACCGGGAGAAUAAGCCCCGGCUAACUCCGUG
rnacentral:rRNA from 1 species